AGGGAAUCUUCCACAAUGGACGCAAGUCUGAUGGAGCAACGCCGCGUGAGUGAAGAAGGUUUUCGGACCGUAAAGCUCUGUUGUUGGUGAAGAAGGAUAGAGGUAGUAACUGGCCUUUAUUUGACGGUAAUCAACCAGAAAGUCACGGCUAACUACGUGCCAGCAGCCGCGGUAAUACGUAGGUGGCAAGCGUUGUCCGGAUUUAUUGGGCGUAAAGCGAGCGCAGGCGGAAGAAUAAGUCUGAUGUGAAAGCCCUCGGCUUAACCGAGGAAUUGCAUCGGAAACUGUUUUUCUU
rnacentral:rRNA from 1 species